GACGUAGGGCGCGAGCGUUGUCCGGAAUUACUGGGCGUAAAGAGCGUGUAGGCGGCCAGAUAGGUCCGUUGUGAAAACUCGAGGCUCAACCUCGAGACGCCGAUGGAAACCAUUUGGCUAGAGUCCGGAAGAGGAGAGUGGAAUUCCUGGUGUAGCGGUGAAAUGCGUAGAUAUCAGGAGGAACACCAAUAGCGAAGGCAGCUCGCUGGGACGUUACUGACACUGAGGCGCGAAAGCGUGGGGAGCGAACAGG
rnacentral:rRNA from 1 species